AUUGAACGCUGGCGGCAGGCCUAACACAUGCAAGUCGAGCGGUAGCACAGAGAGCUUGCUCUCGGGUGACGAGCGGCGGACGGGUGAGUAAUGUCUGGGAAACUGCCUGAUGGAGGGGGAUAACUACUGGAAACGGUAGCUAAUACCGCAUAACGUCGCAAGACCAAAGUGGGGGACCUUCGGGCCUCAUGCCAUCAGAUGUGCCCAGAUGGGAUUAGCUGGUAGGUGGGGUAACGGCUCACCUAGGCGACGAUCCCUAGCUGGUCUGAGAGGAUGACAAGCCACACUGGAACUGAGACACGGUCCGGACUCCUACGGGAGGCAGCAGUGGGGAAUAUUGCAAAAUGGGCGCAAGCCUGAUGCAGCCAUGCCGCGUGUGUGAAGAAGGCCUUCGGGUUGUAAAGCACUUUCAGCGGGGAGGAAGGCGGUGAGGUUAAUAACCUCAUCGAUUGACGUUACCCGCAGAAGAAGCACCGGCUAACUCCGUGCCAGCCGCCGCCGUAACAC
rnacentral:rRNA from 1 species